rnacentral:rRNA from 1 species
GGGGAGCAAACAGGAUUAGAUACCCUGGUAGUCCACGCCGUAAACGAUGUCGACUUGGAGGUUGUGCCCUUGAGGCGUGGCUUCCGGAGCUAACGCGUUAAGUCGACCGCCUGGGGAGUACGGCCGCAAGGUUAAAACUCAAAUGAAUUGACGGGGGCCCGCACAAGCGGUGGAGCAUGUGGUUUAAUUCGAUGCAACGCGAAGAACCUUACCUGGUCUUGACAUCCACGGAAGUUUUCAGAGAUGAGAAUGUGCCUUCGGGAACCGUGAGACAGGUGCUGCAUGGCUGUCGUCAGCUCGUGUUGUGAAAUGUUGGGUUAAGUCCCGCAACGAGCGCAACCCUUAUCCUUUGUUGCCAGCGGUCCGGCCGGGAACUCAAAGGAGACUGCCAGUGAUAAACUGGAGGAAGGUGGGGAUGACGUCAAGUCAUCAUGGCCCUUACGACCAGGGCUACACACGUGCUACAAUGGCGCAUACAAAGAGAAGCGACCUCGCGAGAGCAAGCGGACCUCAUAAAGUGCGUCGUAGUCCGGAUUGGAGUCUGCAACUCGACUCCAUGAAGUCGGAAUCGCUAGUAAUCGUGGAUCAGAAUGCCACGGUGAAUACGUUCCCGGGCCUUGUACACACCGCCCGUCACACCAUGGGAGUGGGUUGCAAAAGAAGUAGGUAGCUUAACCUUCGGGAG